CCUACGGGAGGCUGCAGUGGGGGAUAUUGCACAAUGGGGGGAACCCUGAUGCAGCGACGCCGCGUGGGUGAAGGAGUGCUUCGGCAUGUAAAGCCCUAUCGGCAGGGAAGAAGCAAGACGGUACCUGACUAAGAAGCCCCGGCUAACUACGUGCCAGCAGCCGCGGUAAUACGUAGGGGGCGCGCGUUAUCCGGAUUCACUGGGUGUAAAGGGAGCGUAGACGGCCAGGCAAGCCAGGGGUGAAGGCCCGGGGCCCAACCCCGGGACUGCCCUUGGAACUGUGCGGCUAGAGUGCGGGAGGGGCAGGCGGAAUUCCUGGUGUAGCGGUGAAAUGCGUAGAUAUCAGGAGGAACACCGGCGGCGAAGGCGGCCUGCUGGACUGCGACUGACGUUGAGGCUCGAAAGCGUGGGGAGCGAACAGGAUUAGAUACCCCAGUAGUC
rnacentral:rRNA from 1 species